GCACUACUGACGAGUCCCAAACAGAACGAAGCAACUGUCCAGUUC
rnacentral:hammerhead_ribozyme from 1 species